rnacentral:rRNA from 1 species
CCUACGGGAGGCAGCAGUGGGGAAUCUUGCGCAAUGGGCGAAAGCCUGACGCAGCCAUGCCGCGUGAAUGAUGAAGGUCUUAGGAUUGUAAAAUUCUUUCACCGGGGACGAUAAUGACGGUACCCGGAGAAGAAGCCCCGGCUAACUUCGUGCCAGCAGCCGCGGUAAUACGAAGGGGGCUAGCGUUGCUCGGAAUUACUGGGCGUAAAGGGAGCGUAGGCGGAUAGUUUAGUCAGAGGUGAAAGCCCAGGGCUCAACCUUGGAAUUGCCUUUGAUACUGGCUAUCUUGAGUACGGAAGAGGUAUGUGGAACUCCGAGUGUAGAGGUGAAAUUCGUAGAUAUUCGGAAGAACACCAGUGGCGAAGGCGACAUACUGGUCCGUUACUGACGCUGAGGCUCGAAAGCGUGGGGAGCAAACAGGAUUAGAUACCCUGGUAGUCCACGCUGUAAACGAUGAGUGCUAGUUGUCGGCAUGCAUGCAUGUCGGUGACGCAGCUAACGCAUUAAGCACUCCGCCUGGGGAGUACGGUCGCAAGAUUAAAACUCAAAGGAAAUUGAGG